rnacentral:sRNA from 1 species
GCCGGGCGAGGUGGUGGGCGCCUGUAGUCCCAGCUACUCGGGAGGCUGAGGCAGGAGAAUGGCGUGAACCUGGGAGGCGGAGCUUGCAGUGAGCUGAGAUCCGGCCACUACACUCCAGCCUGGGAGACAGAGUGAGACUCCGUCUCAAAAAAAAAAAAAAAAAAGAGAUGGAGUCUCACUCAGUCACCCAGGUUGGAGUGCAGUGGUGCGAUCUCAGCUCACUGCAAGCUAUGCCUCCUGGGUUCACACCAUUCUCCUGCCUCAG